UCUCCCUCAAAAAUAUCUCCUCUCUCCCUCCCUCACCCCGAUCCUCUUCUCCGUGCCGUCGCCGCCUCCGCUCCCCCUCCCGCGGCCCUCAUCCCCUCCUGCCGCCGCCUCCUCUACUCACCCCACCAUCGCCACCCCGUCCCUCCUCGUUCCCUCCACCAUCAGGGAAGGACGGAUCCACUCCCUCCCACCCCCUCCUCGCCUGGCAUCGCUCGAUGAAGAAGAUGGACAGCAUCUCGAGGCCUUGAAGGCCAGCGAAGCCUUGCGAGAGCCCUCCCCUGCCUGGCCGCCGCCCCCCCCGGCGUUCAAGGAGGAACUGGGCGACAAUAGGAAGCAUGCAGAGGCGGUGGUGGCCAAGGAAAAGGAGGAUCUUGCGGUCUGAUCCCGCCGCUAGGCGUGGGAUCUUGCGAUUUUGAUGAGAUUUGAGCCAUCCUAGAUGUGAAUUAGUAUUUUGUUUUACUUGGGGCGUGAUCUGCAAUAUGGGAGAGGGUGGCCUCUCCAAGAAAAAAUCGAUUCUUUUGGAGAGGAUGAUCUGCAAUAUUUUGAUCUGACUGCUCUCAUCACUCUUUUCUUCUUUCUGACAAUACAUAUUAAUGGUGCCCGAUCGCUUUGAGACACUUUGUUGUGGUGUUCUUCCAAAUUCCAGCACCACGACUCGGGUCCCGGAGCACCAGAUGGUACAAAAGCACCUUUGUCUUGGUCUUUUUCGCUUUAUUAUUUCUAAGUGUAGGAAUGAGAGUUGACACUGCCUCAUUCAGUUUUGUCUCACGUUCAGUACAUCCACUAAUUAUGAUUCAUGCUUAAUCAUUGCCAUAGCUUUAUGCUAACACUUAAACUAGCCGGUCUCUGGAAAAGUCGUGCUGCUUUGCUAGGUGACAUCUAAAGAACAUAGGCGUGCCACGAUGCCACAUUGCUGCCGUAACAAAAGCAAGCAAACUACCACGAGAUAUCCAGAGAACAUAGGCAUGCAAUGCAAACGCCACAAAUCCAACCUAUUGCAUGCUAAACUCCGAAGCUAAAAGUGAAAGCAAAAGUAGCUACUUUUGGUGGUGCGUACUAGAACUUGAAUAGACAGUAGUAAAUUAACCAAACUGAAUGUAAAAAAGACAGUGGUGGUAGUUACGUCGCGGGUGUGUGCGGAUCGGCACGUGACCAUGUGCGCCAGCAUCGGGAUGGUGUAGACGGUGAAGCUGAUAAGGAGGGAUCCGACGGCGGAGUUGAUGGGCCUGAAGAAGGGGAAGACGAUGGCGAGGAACCAGAUGGGCUCCACGAUGGGGAGGCGCGUGGCGGUGCAGGAUACACAAACUCGAUCUGAAUUCUGAAAGCUUGUAUCAGGAAGUGAGUAUGCAAGAUAGCUUCAGGCAAGGUGUACAGAGGUUGUACAGAGGCUGCAGCUGAAGCUGGACUCUGAAGGUUUCUGUUGGAACAAUCAUUGAGAACGAUGAGAGAGUUUGUGUCACAUGUGCCGCUCACUGAUGAGAAGUAGAUUGAAGUGAAUGGUGCUAGAGAAGGAGCGGCCUGGAAAGUACACCAGUGAUGCCCUGCAAGGUGAGGAGAAGAAAGCUAAGGAGAUGCUCCGUGUAAUCCCUAAGAAGCAAAGAGGGAGCAAAAGAACGGGUCCGCUCCAAGGGACUAUGACAUUGGCACUUUCAACAUCUAGCAGUAGGAGAACCGGCCCCAAUUAGUACAUGGUUCAUAAUUUAUUAAGGUACUUCUAAGCUAUUUCUGCAUGUAGAAGAUUCAUGUGCCUCCAUUUACCACAUGUUCCUUGCUGCCCUAUCAUCUUCAUCUUGUUAUUUGGCUGCUGCUAAGCUGAUUGUGGUGAUUUACUGCCUUCUGAUCUUCUCACUACUCAAUCAAGGUCCUUUCUGAAAAGCUUCAGGACGAUAUGAGCGCUAAAAAGUUCCAGCUUGUUGACGUUGUUGGACUUGGUAAGCUUGAUGAAGCCGAGGUCCAUAAGAAAAAGAAAAAAGUAUGUUUUUAGUCCCUCAAGUUUCCAAAAAGUACAG